GGGGGAGCUUAGUUCAUGUCCUAAGAGAAAAUUCACCUUCUUAAGUCAACAAAAUGAUGUUUUAAAAGCCUGAAGGAGCAAAUCGUCAGUAGCACAUCUAGAACCACACCACCCCGAUGCCACCAGGGUGGCCUGGUGGCCUCAAGCAUGAUGUCAGGUGGAGCUCUCUGCACUUUGCUGGCAGCAGAUCUUCGCGGAGAGAAGCACGGGGAGGGUGACAUGUGGUACAGAGCAGGAACGAUGGCUCUGUGCGAUAGCAGCAGACAAAGGUUGCCAUGGCAAGCCUGCUCAGGAGAAAAAAACUGAGUGGAUUGGGCUCACAGGAAGAUUGUGUUAAAGCGGGGGCUGAGAGAUGCCAGGAAUAUUCCUACCCAAAUGCUAAAGACUUGUAUGGUCUCUCAAAAAUGAGGUUGUCUUUAAUGAAACGAAAAUGCAGCCCAUAGUAGCAUGCACAUCUCUGGACACCAACCCAAGCCUAUGGUCAGGGAUGAGCUGGUGUAACAGUCAUAACUCUGGUUGUCUUUCCUACUAGCCUUGGCUUUAAUUCACUUUUGCUGCUAUGCAUGUUCUACUAACUUUCUGGGACUCAAUAUCCUCAUCCAUGAAAAAGAUUGUCC
rnacentral:lncRNA from 1 species